GGCACAUUAAAAUCUCUCUUUUUCAUGCUGAAUCAUCACAUCUGUUUGGCAGAAAAAAAUUUCCAAAACGUUCUUUCUUCAAUCCUGUUACCAUUUUCAAUUCUCUUUCUUUUUGAAAUUUUCUUCAAUCCAGGUUUCUUAACCAUUCCUCUUCCAUGGCUUCUUCGUUGUAGAUCGACUCAUCUCUAACCAGGUACCUCUUUUCCCCAUUUGCUAAUGUUUCUUUCGCUAUUUUGUGGGCUUGAAAGUUCUCUGAUUUUUGAAUAAACUGAAAAUCUAUUUCUUGAAAUAGCGAACUAUGACUCUUGAUAUCUUUGAUAACUACUCCAAUGAUCGAUUUAUCCAUCUCUGCCGAUUGACAUUUUUUAAUGACUGUCUUCGAAUCUCCCCUUAUUGUGACUGAUCGGGGGCCCAGUGAAAUACCCAGCUUGAUUGCUUGUAAACAAGCGAAUGCCUCUGCAAGAAAUGGGGAUGAGACAUUGGAAUGAAGGGUUGUUUUUAAGACUCUUUAUCUCUCCCCUCCAGUUUCGUACAAUGACCCCCGACGCUGAUCUGGACCUGUUUGCAUCAAAAGCUGCAUCAAAUUGUAUUGUGUCCUCCAUUUUCUCCUCCAUAUGUCUCUGUAUUCUGGCAGUCUUCAAGGUACGUCUUUCCUUACCCACUCCUUCAAGUUCUGCUAUAUAGCUCUCUACUUUCUGUGUAAGGUCCCUUCCUGAUGUGUUUUUUCUCAUGUACCAUUUGAUUUCGUGAGCUCCAUAUGAUCCAUAGCGCAACAAAACAUCUGACACUGUUCCUUAGUUUCUUUUGCAAAUACCCAUGUAAGCCAUGUUCUGGUAUUUUGAUCUGAAUAUGAUGUAACCCAAUCCAUGUUAAUAUUCUGCCAAACUUCAGUAAUUGUAGGGCAUUGCUGGAAUACAUGGAAGCUGUCCUCUUCCUCGGAGCCACAACGAGGGCAUCUCAUGUUUGUGGUUAUUCGCUUGUAUCGUAGGUUGGCUAGUGUAGGAAUAUAAUUCCAGGAUAUCCGCUAGACAAACAGUAGAGUUUUUGAUGGAAGUUGUAAAUCCCAUAACUUUCUAUAGAAUUCUUUAAAAUCUGUCUAUAAUAAGUUAUUAAAAAUCGAAUCAGCUUCUUGUAAUAGUUUAUAGUCACUCCGUACAGAGAACUCUCCGGUCGGUUCACCUUUCCAAACGCGUAAGUCUUCACUGUUCGUUUCUGCAAGUGGUAUCUCCAAAAAUUUUUGAGCUAUAUCUGAUACUAAUAAUGACCUCUGUUUUCCACUUCUUAUUUGUUUCAUCAAUUAAACCUGAUACUAUUUUUAGUUCCCUAUUUUCAUCUCCGUUCUGCCAUGUACUAGGUUCAAUCCUUGGAAUCCACCGAUUUGUCCAGAAGGAAACAUUGUUUCCUCUCCCAACUCUCCAACUUAGCCCCUGAAGGAGGAGUCUCUUUGUUGCCCAGAUGCUCUUCCAGGUAAGAGAAGGUAAAUUCCCUAACUCUGCACUUAAAAAAUCUGAUUGUGGAUAAUACUUUACUUUAAGGACUCUAGCUAAAAGUGAAUUUGGAUAAUUAAAAAGAUGCCACCCCUGUUUGGCUAAUAACACAAUAUUAAGCUGACUGAGAUUACGAAAACCCAAACCUCCCUUUUCUUUUAAACUGCAAAGAUUAUUCCAAGAGCACCAAUGAAUUCCCCCUUUACCAUGACCCUUUUCCCACCAAAAUUUUGCGAUAAUUGCUUCCAUUUCUUCGCAUAAAGUUUUUGGGAGUAAGAAGCAAGCCAUUGAAUAUGCCGGGAUGGCCUGUAAUACAGCUUUGAUGAAAACUUCUUUCCCGCCCUGCGAUAAAAAUCUAGUGCUGCAGUUGUCAAUACGCUGCCUUAGUCUAUCUUUCAAAGCCUGAAAAUAAGCCUUUUUUUUUAUCCUACCAUGGUCUGUAACACCCCUUACUCGAGACCGUUUCCGGAGUCGAGCUCAAGGAAUUACUUUAUUUAACUUAUUAGUUCGGGGCAUAAAAGUUUGCUUUUAAAAUUUAUCUCACUAUCUAUGAUAAAGCUGUCCACUCGCGCAGCAGUCACUAAAUCAUUUAUAACUCGAGCUACGAAACUCAAAAUUUAAAUCUAUAAAUUUUCCUUGAAACUAGACUCAUAUAUAUUCUUACCAUUAAUUUUUUAGAAUUUUUGGUUUAGCCAAUUAGUGUAGUUUAUUAGUUAAAGUCUCCCCUGUUUCACUACUCGAUUGUCCUAGCCUCUUGCCACUAAAAAUAAGUUUUCUCAUUUUGGGAAUUUCAUAUGGUGUUCUCACUUGUUUCUACAAAAAAUAGACUCAAUAAGGAAUCUAGACAUAAAAAUUACAACUCAUUUUUUACAAUUUUUAGUGAUUUUCUAAACUCUGAACAGGGGACUCCAAAAACGGUUCUGACCCUGUCUCACCAAAAUUCGUAUAUCUCAAAAUAUAAAAUUUCUUUUGCUAAAACGUUAUUUUUUCAUGAAAAUAGACUCAACAAAAUUUCAGUAUAUAUAUCAUACACCCUCUAAUUCAUUUUAUACUAUCCUAAGUGAUUUUUCAAAAUCACGUCAUUGCUACUGUUUGAAAUCUGUUUCUUUGCAAAUUAUUACUCUUUCAUGAUUUUUAUGCAUAAUUUAUCACAUAGACAUGUAUAACAACAAACACCUUCAUACUUAACUAUUUUGACAACAAUUCAUCUUUAGAUAUUUACACAUCAUUAUUUAGCAAAAUCGUAAUACAACAUUCAAAAUAAGUAAGUCCAUAUACAUGCCAUAGUUCAAACAUAGUUCAUCACAAAAUACCGAGUCGUUGUGGUUGAUAGUGUGGAUGAUCUCCGACGUCUUUAGGAUCCUCGACUUUGAUUAAUAAUGCUAUAUAAAAAGAAAAUAAACAAAGUAAGAAUAAUGCUUAGUAAAUUUACAAGUAAAUAAAUAGCAACAUUUAACACAAUUAAUAAUACUCAAGUGACAUAAUCUUUAAUUUCCUCUUUACUUACUUCCUUACUCGUUCUCUUGCUUGUUUACUUAGUUAACUCAUAAUUAUGACUUACUUUUCUCUUGCUGAAACGUUGAUUCUCAAUGGGUAACAUAAUAUACUCUUAGCUCUUAUAACUCACUUGAACUUGCCAUUUAUGUUUUUAACUAAACUUUCAUGAACAUAAGUUAUUUACUAGCCUGUUGAGCCACAUUGGAACAAUAAUGAUACUUGGGUCUCUUUCUGAUAAUAACAUGCCAAAACCAUGUCCCAGAUAUAGUCUUACAUGGGAUGUUUCAUGUGCUACCAAUGCCAUGUCCCAGACAUAGUCUUACAUGGGAUGUUUCAUGUGCUACCAAUGCCAUGUCCCAGACAUGAUCUUACGGGGGACCUCUCAUCUCGGUGCCAACGCAAUGUCCCAGACAUGGUCUUAUAUGGGACAUCUCAUCUCGGUGCCAACGUCAUGUCCCAGACAUGGUCUUACAUGAGACCUCUCAUGAUCUCAAGGAUGCCAAUGCCAUGUCCUAUACAUGGUCUUACAUGGGAUCUCUUUACCCAAAUGUCAUGACAUUUGCAUCCAAUACGUUCCUCAUGUUUCAACGGGGCCUUUUAACACUGAUUCUCUGUCAUCUCAUACUUGAGUUAACAUUAGAUAUUUUCAUGAAAUAAAUACAUAAUUGCUGAAAAAUAACAGUAUUAAUAAUAAUUUUUAAAAUAUUGCAUUAAUUUACCGUAAACUUACCUCGAUACCAAAUAUAGUCAAAUCUACCACUUAGUCUUCAAUCUUAUUCUUUCCUUGAUCUAACCUCAAAUUCUAUUCUUUUUGAUCUAUAAUAGCAAAUUUAACUUAUUUAAUACUUACAUUCAUUAAAACAUCCCUCGACUUCAACUUUGGAAAAAUUACAAUUUUUCCCCUAAACUUUUACAUAAUUACAUUUUUCCCCAAAGCUCAGAAAUUAAACUUCAUCUCUUAUUCUUAUGUUUUACAACAUGCUGAACAUUUUUCUCUUCUAUGACAACAUCAAAUUCUUACUCUAAAAUCUACUUAUGAACAUUAGGUAUUUUACCGAUUAUGGAGUUUUACUCGUUUUCGCUUAAAAUCGACUAGCAAAAGUUGUUUAACAUAAUUUUUAACUUCAUAUUAUAUCUUAAAACAUCAAAAUAAACACUUUUCACCUAUGAGUAUUUUUUCAAAUAUAAACCCUAGGUUAAAUUAUUACUAGAAUAAACUAAAUUAAGCUACCGGGAUCGCAAAAAUGUAAAGAACAUUAAAAACGGGGUUUGGAAUCACUUACUAUGAGCUUGAGAAAGUGUGAAAACCCUAGCUAUGGUGUCCAAAUUUUGGCAGCAAGCUUUUUUGGAGAAGAUGAUAUUUUUGCCAUCUUUUUCCCUUUUUAUUCUUUUUAUUAUUCAAUGACUAAAAUGCCCUUCAUUAAAACUUUAGUUAUUUUUAUCUAUGCAUGUCUAUUUUUUUCCAUGGAAAUUUUAUGGUCUAAUUGCUAUUUAAGGACCUCUUCUUUGAUUAUGCACUUCAAAUAAAUCCUUUAUCAUCUAAAACUCAUAUUUACCCACUUUUGCAGUUAAGUCCAAAUAGGCAAUUUAGGCAUGCAAUCAAUAAAAUUUCUUAUCAAUACUCUAGUACUUAUAUCUAAUUACUAGAUAAAUCAUAAAAAUUAAUAAUAAUUUUAUCUUUAAAUUGGAUUUGUGGUUACGAAACUACUAUUCUGAUAACCUUAAAUUUGGGCCAUUACAUGGUCGGCAAACCUAGAUAACAUUCUGGUUCAUUUGAGCUUCGGAUUCCUAGCAAGUUUACCACCUGACUUCUUUCUUCUGCCAUCGUAUUUUUGCUGGAAAAAUAGUUGAUUUGUCCAUAUUCACACACUGUCCUGAACCUCUUUUAUACUCACUUUUGAUUUCCUUGAUUGUAUUAUCCCCUCUACAUGUUGCCUCCCCAAAAAGAAUGCAAUCAUCUGCAAAUAAUAAAUGUGAUACCUGUGGUCCUCUUCUGCUUACUUUGACACCCUUCAAAAAACCUUCAUUUGUUGCUUUUCUCAUAAGACUGGAAAGGCCUUCCCCACAUAUUAAGAAAAGAAAUGGACUCAAAAGAUCACCUUGUCGAAGUCCCCUCGAUGGACUGAAUGUCACCCCGACAUUUCCAUUUACCACAACCUUGUAAGAAACAAUAGUCAUGCAUUUCAUAAUAGUAUCAAUCCAACUUCGAGCGAAACCCAUUCGACACAUUAUUUCUUUAAUAAAAUUCUAUUCAACUCUAUCAUAAGCUUUACUCAUGUCCAAUUUUACAGCCACAUAGCCCUUUUUCCCCACUCUUUUCUGUUUUAGGGAACGCAAUAUCUCGUAAGCAAGCAAAAUAUUAUCCGAGAUUAAUCUUCCUGGCACAAAGGCACUUUGUGCACUAUCAAUGCAUUUAUCAAUCACUCCUCUAAAUCUGUUCGCUAUAACUUUUGCCAUUAUUUUAUAAAUGACAUUGCAUAAACUAAAAGGCCUAAAAUGUGUCAUAUUAGCCGGGUUAUUAAUUCUUUGAAUGAGCACAAUAUGAGUUGUAUUAAUUGAACUAACCUCCAUAUCUUCAUUCAAGAGUUGUAGACAGAAGGAAACUACAUCAUCUCCAAUAAAAUGCCAAUACUUCUGAUAAAAUAAAGCUGGGAAUCCAUCUUCGCCUGGUGCCUUAGUGGGUGCCAUCUCGAACAAAGCCUCGCGGAUUUCUUCUCAUGUAUAUUGCACAGUCAGCUUUUUAUUUUCCUCUUUAUAGAUACAUCAACCAAUACCCGAGAGUAAAUAGUCGAGAUUCUCUUGAUUCUCUGAAGCAAAUAAAUUCUGGAAGUAGGACCUUGCUAUUUCUUCCAUUUCCUGGGGAUCUCCCGUAUCCCUUCCAUGUGCAUUUUGUAACCUCCUGAUCUUGUUUUUCCUCUGUCUUUGGGUUGUCUGGCUAUGGAAAAAAGCUGUAUUUUUGUCACCUAAUUUUAACCAAGUCAAUCGAGCCCUUUCCUCCUUAUAUCUUUCCUCCUUCUCAAACUCCAUAUUUAGUUGAAUCUUCGUAUCGAUCAUCUCCGCCAUGUUAAUGUCGUCCCUGUCAGCAUUGAGCAGCUCAGAUAGCUUUGUUGUUAAAAAUCUCUUUUCCAUUUUUCUUGUUUCGUAUUUUCCCAGCCCAAUUUUCAAGCCCUUUAUUUAGGAUUUUCAUUUUCUACAAAAAAUUACCUAGUGUCAUCUUCCACAGCUGCUAGCUUAAGCAACAAAUGAGUCCUCCAAAAACCACCAGUUUUCAAUUUUGAAUAUAUUCCCAUUUUGUCGUCUUGUUUCCUUUUUAGUAUCAAUUAAAAUGGGACAAUGAUCAGAAAAAGAAUGAACCAAAUGUUGAGCUUUAACGUCAGAAAAUAAUGAAAUCCAUUCCUUAUUUGCCACCCCCUAUCCAACCGUUAUCGUAUAUUUUUUUGGGAGAUUACCUCUUUCCCAUGUGAACCAUUUGCCCGAAUAACCCACAUCAUUCAAUUGACAAAACUCCAGCGCUUUUCGAAACAUUUCCAUCUGUCUUUCAUCACGGGGCAAGCCUCCCUUCUUCUCAAAACCAUACAUGACUUUAUUGAAAUCUCCACAUACUAACCAUGGUAUAUUAUCUCCAUUAGAGAGAUUUUUGAGAACAGCCCAUGAAUCUUCUUUAUCUUGUGCGUACAGGGUACCAUAGAAACCUGUAAAAAGCCACAUAACCUCCCUCUCAUUGUCAUGGACUAUCGCGUCAAUAUGCCUUUUAGAGAAAUUUUUUAAAGAAAUAUUAACGCCAUUCUUCCAUGCCAAACAUAGCCCUUCUCUAGUUCCCUCUACGUCCACCUCAAUGCCAUUCACAAAACCACAUCUCUGUCAAACUCUUUCCAUCUGUUUUCCGUAAAGUUUAGUCUCCAUAAAGAAGACUAUGUGGGGAUCACAAGUCUUCAGCAAGUGCCGAAGUCUUCUAACUGUCCGUGGACUCCCCAAUCCACGAAAAUUCCGACUUAUUAUUUUCAUAAUGCCCGGUCGGCUUGCCUCUUGGCAGCCGCCGAUGACAAAUGAUUAAGAUCCAUUAAUCUCCUAUUUCUUGCCGGGGAAUUUAACUCCUCAGUCUUUGAUAAGUCGUUACUCUCCCUUCUAGAUCUUUUUUUACCUUCUUCUCCUACUAAGGCUACAUCCUCCAAGUCAUGAUCCAUCGCAUGUUGACCAUGGUCUGUCAGUGAGCUAACCUGCUUUGCAUAAUCAAAUAGUAAGCCACCUUCCAGAUUAAUACUGAGAACUGGUUCAAUAGCCUUCCCAAAACUCUUCCUGUGCUCCAUUUUCUGUGGUCCAUUCAUAAAUCUCAUGUUUGCCUCCUGAAUCCCGUCUGAACUCCCCUCCCCUUCCUCUCGUAGCCAGACAAUAUUCAUAGUCAGAGCUCUUCGGGAUUGUGCUUUUAUUGAUAAAUCCCACCCCAUUUCAGCUAUUUUCACUCCAGUCAUCGUUUUUGCCUUACAAAACGAGUCAUUAUGGCCUAGUUUUCCAUAAUAGAAGCAGAAAAGAGUCAAUCUUUCAUAUUUAAAACAGAUAUAUGAUCGUCUCCCACAGAAUUCGAUCAACUUAGACCCUAACCCUCAUAAAGUUUCUAUUUUCUUUCCAUAAAUUUGACACAUCAUAUUCCAUAAAAUACCCCAAAAAAUUCCCUAGAUUCACUGCUAAAUUUUUAGAAAACAAACCAAUGGGCACUUUAUGUAUCUGAACCCAGAAAGGGGUUAGCACUAAAGGGACCUGCAACGAAUCCUCCCCCCACCACAGUCUAUAAAAUAUCAAUAGAUGAUUAUUGAAGGUCCAUGGGGAGCCUUUCAAAACCCUCUCCAUAUCCAUAGAAUGAAAAAAUUAGAACAAAAACCUUUUUCCCCCCAAAUCCCGAAUGCAAACUCCUCGAACAGGAUGCCAUAGUACUUUUCAUGGCUGGAAAGUGAAUUAUACUCGUUGUAAGAAAACACCCCACUAAUUGAAAAAACUAUUCACUUCUUUCCGUACCUAGAUUUUUUUGAAUUUUAAUAACAUCUUUCUCUUCGUUGAUCGAUAAUUGGGCUAAUUCAUUCUCUAUAAUUUUUAGGGACACAACGCCGUAAGCCAAAAAGAAAGACAGAAGAACAAAAAACCUAAAAUUUUGCCAAAGGCAGUAGACACAAACGUGCUAGGCGUUGCUGAAUUAAAAGAACUUACAUCAACAAGAAUAAUCACAAAUGGAAAUGAGCUUUUCGACAGAAUAUGAAACUAAUUAUUCAAGCUCAAUAAAAAAAUAUGUUUUUGUUCUUUUUUUUCUUUUCGAUUUAUUUUUUUUUUGAGAAAUAAGAAAUAAAAUUCAACAAUUUCAAAAAAAAAUGAAACAUAGUUAGGCAACUAACCAAAUCAAAUCUUGACAAAAAGGGGAGUCAAUAAAAACAACAAUUAAGGUGGUUAAAUGGGUUAAAUCUUAAGUGUCUCUAUAAUGUCAAUAUAUUAAAUCAAUAAUGUGGUCUAGAUAUGUAUAAUAUAAGCAAGUUCUAGAAUAACAAAUGAAGUUGACAUACUUUCAACCAAAAAUAAAAUGAUCACGAAUAAAUAUAUGCUCUAUAGGCUCAAAGGCUCACAAAAAAUUAAGGUUUUGAUGUCAAACUUGCAAUUUCAGAGUUUGAAGAUAAUAAUUCAAUUCAGGAAGGCAACCUAAAAUAUUUAUUUCUUAAAAAAUAACUUAUCAUGCUUGACUGUCUCGUGCCUUAAAGACACACAAAUUAAUCCAAAACAAUAUCAAUAAAAAUUUCAAAUAAAAAAAUUCACUCUAAUGGAUAACCUCCUCAGACUUAAGAUAUACAUUGUCCUUAAUGUGCAAAUAGAUGUAAGCACAGAAUAAGACAAUAUCAAAAGAGAGGGAGAACUGAAACUGCCUUGAAUAUGGAUGAAUUCGCCAUAAUAGUGAAAACUGGAAUCGUAAGCGAGUUUAAAUGAAAUGCAUGUUUCUGAGCAAACUAAUAAGAAAAUGAACAAAAAUAAAUAAGAAGGUAAAGAGAUUACAAACUCGAACAAAAAAACCAUCAAAAUAAUAAAAAUAACAACAUAGUUUAAAAUAGAAAUAAAAUAAAUUAGUAUCACAAAAAAUACAACAAUUAAAAAUAAAAGCACAAUUGAAAAUAAAACAAAUAAAGCAAAUAAAAUGAAAAAAUCAGUGAUCGUCGUCGUGAGAGGCGUCAGGAUCGCGCGGAACAUAAGCAGAAUGAGAGAUAUGGAGGUGUUGGUGAAUCGAUGCAAGGUCGCGUAAAUGUUUGUUGAACAGUGCUAACUGUUACUUGACGUACUCAUAAUGUAACCGCUCGAGGUGAUUUAGCCGAUGUGAAAUAUCGUCGAGUGUGACUGAAUGUGCAGGUGUGGUAGUAGAAGGGCUUGGAGAAGUGGGAAUGGGUCGCAGUGCUGGGGGGAGAUCAUUGUUAAGGUGCUCAUUAUCCUUGUGCUAUUAAGUCGCUCGUAGCAACACAUACUGAUCACCGAAAGGCCCAGACUAACGAGCGAUCAUCCUCAUGUGUUUCAUAAUAUUUAAACCUUGUGGUGUCAUGUCCCCAACCAAAGUAAGAGUACUAAUCUGUUCUCGAGUCUCGAUAAGACUGAAGAGACUAGUCAAGAGUGUGAUAUAUAGACCCAUACAAAGAGGUCCUCUCCGUGACCUCUCACCCUGAUUACAACAACACUGAGCUACGAAGUGGGAUAGAUCAAUCAGAUGUUGUCUGUGCAUGCUCUAUAAGAAAUGUGCAUCUAAAGUGCCCAUGACGCUUGUAACGACCCAUUUUCAGUGGUGUUAGAAAUAGUGAUUUUGGGACCACAAUUCUGACGAGUGAAUUAUUAUUUUAUCAUUUAUUUAAUGUUUAUUGGAUUAUAUUAAUGUCGUAUUAAAAUUUUGUUAAGAAAUUUUGAUGUUUAAAUGGUUAAUUAGGUGAAAAGGACUAAACCGUAAAAAGUGUAAAAGUUGAGAGUUCUAUUAGUUAAAGUGGUCCAAUGACUAUGAAAUCAAAAAACUAAAAGGAUUGAUUGGUAAAUAUACCAUUUAAAGUGUCAAUAGAUGUGCAUGGACAAGGUUUUAAUGAAAUUUUGAUAGUUUUUAAAGGUUAAAAUGACAAUUGAAUAAUUAACUUAAAAACAAAACAAAUUAAAAAUGGUAUCAUCUUCAUCCUUGGCUAUCUCCACCAAAAUUUGAAGAGAAAAACAUGAUUAGGAUAGGGUUGAGAAUUCGAUCAAGUUUCUACUUGUAUGUAAGUGAAUUCAAGCUCCGUUUUUAAUAAUUUUUGUGUUUUUAGUUCAUUUUAGUUUAAUCUAGCUAGCCCGGGGGUUAAUUUGCAAAGCUAUUAAUGGUUGAAAGACUUUUCAUGGAUAUUUUUGAAUAUGUUUUGACGUUUUUUGAUGGAUUAUUUAUCUUUAUUGUAAAAUAAACAUGUUUGUUAAGUGAUUUUUAUUGAAUUUUAGAAAUAUGGAUUAGAUUGUUAAAAGUAUAAAUCCAUGGGUUUUGUUGUGAAAUGUUGGUAAUAAUGGGUUGUUUCAAGGUCUCUUUGAACAUUGGUUAAGUUGGAUUUAGGUUAAAAUGAUUAGAGUUUAAGUUAUGAGCUUGAGGACUAAAUUGUGAAAAGUCAAAGUAUUAGGGUAAAUUUUGUAAUUCUUCAUAAAUAUUAAUUAUGGAUUAAAUUUAAUUCUAGAAGUACUUAAUUGAAUGAAAUUAUUUAUUUAGAUCAAGAUAAACCACAAUCAUACUUAAAUUGAAGAAAAGCUAAAGCUUCGGAUUAGUGUUCGAUUAUACUUUUACGCCCUAGUUAUCGAGGUAAGUUCGUAUGAACUAUGAUCGUUUUAAUGUUAGUUAAAUUGACUAUUUGAUGUGUUGUUUUAAUAUAAAUGAAUCUAUGUAUAAAUGUAUCUAAGUUAUGAUGAUUUGACAGAUAACGAGUCUUGUUUGAACCUUAAGAAUUCUUAGGAUACAAAUGACAUGUCAUUUGGGAUUUCAUGUUUCGGGUGUUGGUUUUGAAUGUCCUAUCGAUGACCGAGGUCCUGUAUUUGUUGCGAGUUUUUCAUAGCUCGUGUGGGCAGCAUCGUGUAGCUAACAUUCUGACCCAUAACUCAUGUGAGCAGACCUAUUUCAUAGCUCGUGUGAGCAUUAAUGUAAAGGAAAUGUUACGGUUAUAUGGAAAGGCACACUACGUGUGAGCAUUCCUGAGUAUCUGAUGUAAUUUUAGAUGGUUCAAUGGGUAAGAAAAGGAAAUGAAAUGGUAAGUAUGCAAAUGGAAUGAAUCAUGAUUUUAUAAUGACAUUGAUGAGUUAAAUGAUGUGUUUAUAUAUGGUAAACUACAUAUCUUAUGGUUGAUUUCAUUUGUAUCAUGAACAAGUAUACUAACUUGUUAGUUUGAUGAUGUUGUAUAGGCUUUUACUAAGCUUAUGGCAUUGGUAAUGAUUUAUGCUUAAUCUAUGAAUUGUAUAAAUGAAAUGGUAAGUUAUGCUAAGUUUUUACGAGCUUACUAAGCACUCGUUGCUUACAUAGUUACUUUCUUUUGUUUUAUAGAUUAUUUAAAGCUCGAUCGGUUGGAAGUUAAUCGAAGACCUAUCACACUAUCCAACAAUCAUUUCAAUAGUUUUUUUUUGUGUGUAUUUUGGCCAAGGUUAAUAAUGACAUGUAUAAGAUCUUUGUAAUGUAAGUUUUGGUAUGUUUAAGCUUUUGCAGUUAUGUUGGUUUGGUGCACUUUGAUAUCUUACCAAGUUAUGUCAUAUUGGUCACUUAAGUGCUUUUAAACAAAGUUCUUUUGGUAUGUUUUGAUGGCUUGAAAAUGGCCAUAUGUGGUAGUUAAUUGAACUAGGUUAUUAUGCUUGGGAAUAUACAAUAUUGACUUGUUUUGGUAAGUGAUGUUUUGAUAUAUUUGUGGUGCCUUUGAGUGGCAUAUUGGUUAGAUGAAUUAGGGUGUUUGAAAAGGCAUGUUUUUGUGUAUUUGAAUGAAGUUUAAAUUCCUUGAAUGUAUGCCCAAAUGGUUUGAAUGGUUAGGUAUGAAUUGGACUUGAAAUGGCUUGAUUUUAGGUUAAAUUUUGGGUUCACAUGGCCUGGGACACGGGCUGUCACAUGGCCGUGUGACACACACAGCCUGGCGACACGGUCGUGUGUCAUUUCAAAUUUUUUAGUGAUUCAAGUCAGUGAGUUACACGGCCUGACACACAGGCGUGUGUGGCAACUCAGAGAGUUAUACGACCAUGUGACCCUUCUCAGUGAGUUACACGGGUGAGGAAACAUGCUAGGACACCGUCGUGUGUCCUUUGUUCGAAUGUGUCACGGCUUGGCCACACGACUGUGUGACCCCCGUUUUCAUAUUUUUGCAUCUUUUUCUUAAAAUUUCUAUUUUGUUUCGAUUCAGUCCUGAAUUGUUUCUAAGCUAUUUUUAGGGCCUCGAAGGCUCGAUUUAGGGAUAAAAUGCAUAUGAAUGAUUGGUUUACAAUAAAUUUAAUUUAUUUUAUAUUAUAGUGUUAAAUGAUUUUCGGUUGAAAGGUAAUGCUCUGUAACCCUAAUCUAGCGACGGAGACGAGUUGGGGUGUUUCAAUGCUUGUACUAUUCUUUCGUCUAGUUAAAGUAUGAACUAGAAUGACAUGAAUAUAUUACAAGGUUGGAGGGAGGCACUUAGCCUUAGACUGGCUCGGGUUGCACGGAAUGACAGCCUCAGAGAUUUCUGACGAACAUAGAAAGAUCGAUUAAUGGAUGUGUUGUGGGACGGAUGAGAGCUCGGUCACUACUAAGAAAUCAUUAGAAUAUAGGCUGAGAGUGACAGCAAAAAUUGCAAUACUAAAGUGUUGAGUGAUACCCUCAAGACAGAAUGAUAUAGCUCGUGGGUCAUCCCCCGAGAAUAAUACAGUCGGUAGGAAGAAUGUGGAGAAAAACUUGAAUGUAAGCUCAACAUAUGUCGACUCCACGAUCGUGAAGAAUCGAUCCCAUGGGGUUGCGAUUAAAAGAGAAUGAAUCGGUGUGAAUAAGUCCACAAUAUGGAAGGCAUCCCAAUCUACACGUCUACCCACGCCCAAUGCUCUAUCCUUAAGAUUCUGGCACUCUCCACAUAGGGUGGAUGGUCGAAGGUGAGGUAUUGGUAACGAGUGGUUGUUAUCGGAGAGGAUGAAGAUGAGGUCCAUGUGGCUUUUCUUUUAUUAGAAUAAGUGGGGACCCCACUUUUUCCUCGUCGGUUUUGCAUUUUGUAUCUGAAAUAAAAUAUAAUAACCAAAUAUCAGAUAACCAAAAAUCAAAACCACAAAAAAUAAAUCUAGCAAAUAGACAAAUCAACAUACGAAAUAAAACAUAUCGGCAAGCGAACUACCUCACGAUAAAAGUCAAAUCACAACGAGUCUAACCGAAAUCUACUUCGAAUACAAAACUUGAGCUAAUACUAAUACUAUUGAGGCAAAAAAAAAUUAAACUAACCAACUAAAACUAAUAAUAAUAGAAUAAUAAAAUAAUAACAAUAAUACUAAUACUAAACAAAAUAAACAUAUUAAUAAUAGUAGGAGUAAUAAUAAUUAAAAUAAUAAGAAAAUAAAUAAAAACAAAAAUAAUAAAAAUUAAAUAAAAUGAAAUGAAAGAAUAGGGUUGAGCCAAACGGUGGUAACAGCAAUGGUUGGUGGCGAUGGUGAAUGGAGGCGCGGUGGUAGAAGCGAGUGAGGACGUGGGAGAGGGCUGAUGGUGGUAAUGCACAGGUGAAGAGGGUUAGAACAGAGGGAAAAAAACCAGACGGUAGAGGAAAUGGCAUGAUUGACGGUGGGGGAAGGAAAUGGAAAAAGAGAAGCGCGGGAAGGAAAGGAAACGACAUGAUCGACGGUAGAGGACGUGUGUCUAGCCAAUGUGGAAUGGCCCAGCUUGUGUGGCUCUGAAAGAUUCCUCCGAUUUUUUGAUUUUCGCUCCUUUUGCUUCCAAAUGCUCUCCUAAGUAUAAAAACAUGAAUAUAUAGGAUUAGGGGCAUAAAAUUCACCAUUUUAAAUCGAAUAAUGAUCCAAAACUGCAUUAAGAAUAAGGCUAAAACAUGUUACUUUUGGCAUUUAUCAAUAGGAAAUGGGUUGGUUUGAAAAUAAAUGGAUUGCUUGUCGUAGAAUAUUAUUCUCGGCAUAACUCAAAAUAUAAAAUUUUAAAAAUUAUAUUUAAUACAAUAAAACAUUUAUUAUAUUUAUGGUAGUAUUUUUUAAUGUGGUAUGAAACUCUUAGUUGAUGAAACGUGUUUAGUGGUAGAUUGAAUAGCCUAUUAGAUCAUUAAUUCUGAAGCCAUUAAUCAUAUUUGUGUUUAUUGCAG
rnacentral:lncRNA from 1 species